GGUGAGUAACACGUGGGCAACCUACCUGUAAGACUGGGAUAACUUACGGAAACGUGAGCUAAUACCGGAUAGUUUCACUUCUCGCAUGAGAAGUGAAGGAAAGAUGGCUUUUAGCUAUCACUUACAGAUGGGCCCGCGGCGCAUUAGCUAGUUGGUGGGGUAAAGGCCUACCAAGGCGACGAUGCGUAGCCGACCUGAGAGGGUGAUCGGCCACACUGGGACUGAGACACGGCCCAGACUCCUACGGGAGGCAGCAGUAGGGAAUCUUCCGCAAUGGACGAAAGUCUGACGGAGCAACGCCGCGUGAGCGAAGAAGGUCUUCGGAUCGUAAAGCUCUGUUGUUAGGGAAGAACAAGUACCGGAGUAACUGACGGUACCUUGACGGUACCUAACCAGAAAGCCACGGCUAACUACGUGCCAGCAGCCGCGGUAAUACGUAGGUGGCAAGCGUUGUCCGGAAUCAUUGGGCGUAAAGCGCGCGCAGGCGGUCCUUUAAGUCUGAUGUGAAAUCUUGCGGCUCAACCGUAAGCGGUCAUUGGAAACUGGGGGACUUGAGUGCAGGAGAGGAAAGCGGAAUUCCAUGUGUAGCGGUGAAAUGCGUAGAGAUAUGGAGGAACACCAGUGGCGAANGCGGCUCUCUGGCCUGUAACUGACGCUGANGCGCGAAAGCGUGGGGAGCGAACAGGAUUAGAUACCCUGGUAGUCCACGCC
rnacentral:rRNA from 1 species